rnacentral:rRNA from 1 species
CCUACGGGUGGCAGCAGUCGGGAAUAUUGGACAAUGGGGGCAACCCUGAUCCAGCCAUGCCGCGUGUGUGAAGAAGGCCCUCGGGUUGUAAAGCACUUUCAGUGAGGAAGAACGCCUGGUGGUUAAUACCCAUCAGGAAAGACAUCACUCACAGAAGAAGCACCGGCUAACUCCGUGCCAGCAGCCGCGGUAAUACGGAGGGUGCGAGCGUUAAUCGGAAUUACUGGGCGUAAAGCGCGCGUAGGUGGCUUGAUAAGCCGGUUGGGAAAGCCCCGGGCUCAACCUGGGAACGGCAUCCGGAACUGUCAAGCUAGAGUGCAGGAGAGGAAGGUAGAAUUCCCGGUGUAGCGGUGAAAUGCGUAGAGAUCGGGAGGAAUACCAGUGGCGAAGGCGGCCUUCUGGACUGACACUGACACUGAGGUGCGAAAGCGUGGGUAGCAAACAGGAUUAGAUACCCGAGUAGUC